UACGGCGAGUGAAGCGGCAAAAGCUCAAAUUUGAAAUCUAGCACCUUCGGUGUUCGAGUUGUAAUUUGAAGAUGGUAACCUUGGGUUUGGCUCUUGUCUAUGUUCCUUGGAACAGGACGUCAUAGAGGGUGAGAAUCCCGUCUGAUGAGAUGCCCAUUCCUAUGUAAGGUGCUAUCGAAGAGUCGAGUUGUUUGGGAAUAAA
rnacentral:rRNA from 1 species